rnacentral:rRNA from 1 species
GACGAACGCUGGCGGCGUGCUUAACACAUGCAAGUCGAACGGAAAGGCCCUGCUUUUGUGGGGUGCUCGAGUGGCGAACGGGUGAGUAACACGUGAGUAACCUGCCCUUGACUUUGGGAUAACUUCAGGAAACUGGGGCUAAUACCGGAUAGGAGCUCCUGCUGCAUGGUGGGGGUUGGAAAGUUUCGGCGGUUGGGGAUGGACUCGCGGCUUAUCAGCUUGUUGGUGGGGUAGUGGCUUACCAAGGCUUUGACGGGUAGCCGGCCUGAGAGGGUGACCGGCCACAUUGGGUCUGGGAUACGGCCCAGACUCCUACGGGAGGCAGCAGUGGGGAAUAUUGCACAAUGGGCGGAAGCCUGAUGCAGCAACGCCGCGUGCGGGAUGACGGCCUUCGGGUUGUAAACCGCUUUCGCCUGUGACGAAGCGUGAGUGACGGUAAUGGGUAAAGAAGCACCGGCUAACUACGUG